rnacentral:rRNA from 1 species
GAAUAUUGCGCAAUGGGGGCAACCCUGACGCAGCAACGCCGCGUGAGUGAGGAAGGUUUUCGGACCGUAAAGCUCUGUCGAGCGGGAAGAAAUGCAUGGUGGCCAAUAUCCAUCAUGCUUGACGGUACCGCUAAAGGAAGCACCGGCUAACUCCGUGCCAGCAGCCGCGGUAAUACGGGGGGUGCGAGCGUUGUUCGGAAUUAUUGGGCGUAAAGAGCGUGUAGGCGGCCGAAUAAGUCAGAUGUGAAAUCCCUGGGCUUAACCCAGGACGUGCAUUUGAGACUAUUCGGCUAGAGUAGGGGAGAGGAAAGUGGAAUUCCUGGUGUAGAGGUGAAAUUCGUAGAUAUCAGGAGGAACACCGGUGGCGAAGGCGACUUUCUGGCCCUAUACUGACGCUGAGACGCGAGAG